UACGUAGGGCGCAAGCGUUGUCCGGAAUUAUUGGGCGUAAAGAGCUCGUAGGCGGCUUGUCACGUCGAUUGUGAAAGCCCGAGGCUUAACCUCGGGUCUGCAGUCGAUACGGGCUAGCUAGAGUGUGGUAGGGGAGAUCGGAAUUCCUGGUGUAGCGGUGAAAUGCGCAGAUAUCAGGAGGAACACCGGUGGCGAAGGCGGAUCUCUGGGCCAUUACUGACGCCGAGGAGCGAAAGCGUGGGGAGCGAACAGG
rnacentral:rRNA from 1 species